rnacentral:pre_miRNA from 1 species
GGGGGGAAGCCGGAUCCUGGGCUGUGUCCCCAGUGCCCUGUGCUCACGGGCCUGCGCUGUUGGAAUUGCACUCCCAGCCGGUCAGCCGGGCAGCCUCCU